UGGGGAAUAUUGCACAAUGGGGGAAACCCUGAUGCAGCGACGCCGCGUGAACGAAGAAGGUCUUCGUAUCGUAAAGUUCUGUCCCAUGGGAAGAUAAUGACCGUACCAUAGAAGAAAGCUCCGGCUAAAUACGUGCCAGCAGCCGCGGUAAUACGUAUGGAGCGAGCGUUGUCCGGAAGUAUUGGUCGUAAAGGGUACGCAGGCGGUUUAAUAAGUCGAAUGUUAAAGAUAGGGGCUCAACCCCGUAAAGCAUUGGAAACUGAUAAACUUGAGUAGUGGAGAGGAAAGUGGAAUUCCUGGUGUAGUGGUGAAAUACGUAGAUAUUAGGAGGAAUACCAGUAGCGAAGGCGACUUUAUGGACACAAACUGACGCUGAGAUACGAAAGCGUGGGGAGCAAAGAGG
rnacentral:rRNA from 1 species